GAUGAACGCUGGCGGCGUGCUUAACACAUGCAAGUCGAACGGUGAAGCAGAGCUUUCUCUGUGGUUCAGUGGCGAACGGGUGAGUAACUCGUGAGCAACCUGCCCCUGUCUCUGGGAUAAGCGCUGGCAACGGCGUCUAAUACUGGAUAUGUGCUGCGACCGCAUGGUCAGCAGUUGGAAAGAUUUUUCGGUCUGGGAUGGGCUGACGGCCUAUCAGCUAGUUUGUGAGGUAAUGGCUCACCAAGGCGUCGACGGGUAGCCGGCCUGAGAGGGUGUCCGGCCACAAUGGGACUGGGACACGGCGCAGACUCCUACGGGAGGCAGCAGUGGGGAAUAUUGCAGAAUGGGCGAAAGCCUGAUGCAGCAACGCCGCGUGAGGGAUGACGGCCUUCGGGUUGUAAACCUAUUUUAGCAGGGAAGAAGCGAAAGUGACGGUACCUGCAGAAAAAGCGACGGCUAACUACGUG
rnacentral:rRNA from 1 species